rnacentral:rRNA from 1 species
UACGAAGGGGGCUAGCGUUGUUCGGAAUUACUGGGCGUAAAGCGCACGUAGGCGGAUAUUUAAGUCAAGGGGUGAAAUCCCAGAGCUCAACUCAUGGAACUGCCUUUGAUACUGGGUAUCUUGAGUAUGGAAGAGGUAAGUGGAAUUGCGAGUGUAGAAGGUGAAAUUCGUAGAUAUUCGCAGGAACACCAGUGGCGAAGGCGGCUUACUGGUCCAUUACUGACGCUGAGGUGGCGAAAGCGUGGGGAGCAAACAGG